rnacentral:tRNA from 1 species
CAAAGAAUAGCUUAACUCAAAGCACUUCGCUUACACCGAAGCCAUGUUUGUGUGAUUCAGACUUCUUUGAG